UAAAACAAUUCUGAUUUUAAAAACGCAUAUUGUUCAAGUAAAAUAGCAAAUUGAGUAAACAAAUUGGGAUAUAAAUUAAUUUGAAAAAUCAUUACAUUUACAAUUAUUAAGUCACUUAUAUCAGAAAAAAUGAAGAAGAUACUACUGCAAUUGUUGAUUUUACCUGUAUUUUUAUCGUCAACAUUGGAAAUCCUUAAAACUAUUGCAAAUACAAAUUUGAUAAAUGCCAAAAAAGAAUUGUAUGACUGUUUUAAAAAAUAUAAUUUAUAUCUAAAUUACAGAAAACAUAACGAGCAGAGAGUUUUUUCAGAAAUAUUCGAUAACUAUAUAAAUACAUCGGUAAAAGAUAUGUGCUCAAAUAAACUUAAGCCGCUUAAUUUGAGUGGAAAUGCUAGAAUACAUUUUUACUUUUGGGGAAGCAAAGACAGUACACUAGAAUU